rnacentral:rRNA from 1 species
UACGGAGGGGGCUAGCGUUGUUCGGAAUUACUGGGCGUAAAGCGCGCGUAGGCGGCUUCGCAAGUCAGAGGUGAAAGCCCGGAGCUUAACUCCGGAAUAGCCUUUGAGACUGCGUCGCUAGAAUCCGGGAGAGGUGAGUGGAAUUCCGAGUGUAGAGGUGAAAUGCGUAGAUAUCUGGAGGAACACCGGUGGCGAAGGCGGCAUCCUGGACCAACACUGACACUGAUGAGCGAAAGCCAGGGGAGCAAACGGG